rnacentral:rRNA from 1 species
CCCCGAAGUGGGGGAUAACUACUGGAAACGGUAGCUAAUACCCCAUGUGGUCCGUCAUUCGGUUGGCGGAUUAAAGCUCCGGCGCUUCGGGAUGGGCCUGCGGCCGAUUAGCUAGUUGGUAGGGUAAUGGCCUACCAAGGCGAUGAUCGGUAGCUGGUCUGAGAGGAUGGUCAGCCACACUGGCACUGAGAUACGGGCCAGACUCCUACGGGAGGCAGCAGUAAGGAAUCUUGCGCAAUGGGGGAAACCCUGACGCAGCAACGCCGCGUGGGCGAUGAAGGUCUUCGGAUCGUAAAGCCCUUUUCUGGGGGAUGAGAAAGGACAGUACCCCAGGAAUAAGUCUCGGCUAACUACGUGCCAGCAGCCGCGGUAAAACGUAGGAGGCAAGCGUUAUCCGGAUUUAUUGGGCGUAAAGGGCGUCUAGGCGGUGUCUUAAGUUGGGCGUGAAAUCUCCCGGCUCAACUGGGAGGCUGCGUUCAAUACUGAGACACUUGAGGGCAGGAGAGGAAAGUGGAAUUCCCGGUGUAGUGGUGGAAUACUUAGAUAUCGGGAGGAACACCAGUGGCGAAGGCGGCUUUCUGGCCUGUACCUGACGCUGAAGCGCGAAAGCGUGGGUAGCGAACGGGAUUAGAUACCCCGGUAGUCCACGCUGUAAACGAUGGAUACUAGGUGUUGGUGGUUAUUGACCCCAUCAGUGCCGCAGCUAACGCGUUAAGU